UACGUAGGGUGCUAGAGUUGUCCGGAUUUACUGGGUGUAAAGGGUGCUCAGGCGGAUUUGUAAGUCAGAGGUGAAAUCCCAAAGCUUAACUUUGGAGCUGCCUUUGAUACUGCAAGUCUUGAGUGUGAGAGAGGAUGAUGGAAUAUCUGGUGUAGCAGUGAAAUGCGUAGAUAUCAGAUAGAACACCAAUGGCGAAGGCAGUCAUCUGGCUCAAUACUGACGCUAAAGCACGAAAGUGUGGGGAGCAAACAGGAUUAGAUACCCUGGUAGUCCACACCCUAAACGAUGAGUACUAGAUGUUGGUCCUUUUUAGGAUCAGUAUCCAAGCUAACGCAUUAAGUACUCCACCUGGGAAGUACAAUCGCAAGGUUGAA
rnacentral:rRNA from 1 species